GUGGGGAAUAUUGGACAAUGGGCGAAAGCCUGAUCCAGCCAUGCCGCGUGAGUGAUGAAGGCCUUAGGGUUGUAAAACUCUUUCAGUAGGGAAGAUAAUGACGGUACCUACAGAAGAAGCCCCGGCUAACUUCGUGCCAGCAGCCGCGGUAAUACGAAGGGGGCUAGCGUUGUUCGGAUUUACUGGGCGUAAAGCGCACGUAGGCGGAUUGGUCAGUUAGAGGUGAAAUCCUGGAGCUCAACUCCAGAACUGCCUUUAAUACUGCCAGUCUAGAGUCCAGAAGAGGUGAGUGGAACUCCUAGUGUAGAGGUGGAAUUCGUAGAUAUUAGGAAGAACACCAGUGGCGAAGGCGGCUCACUGGUCUGGUACUGACGCUGAGGUGCGAAAGCGUGGGGAGCAAACAGGAUUAGAAACCCCGGUAGUCC
rnacentral:rRNA from 1 species